UACGUAGGGGGCAAGCGUUGUCCGGUAUUAUUGGGCGUAAAGCGCGCGCAGGCGGCUUUGUAAGUUUGGUGUUUAAUCUCAGAGCUCAACUCUGAUUCGCAUCGAAAACUGCAAGGCUUGAGUACAGAAGAGGAAAGUGGAAUUCCACGUGUAGCGGUGAAAUGCGUAGAGAUGUGGAGGAACACCAGUGGCGAAGGCGACUUUCUGGGCUGUAACUGACGCUGAGGCGCGAAAGCCAGGGGAGCGAACGGG
rnacentral:rRNA from 1 species